rnacentral:lncRNA from 1 species
CACAAUUCCUUAUAUCCCCCUAGCACUGUAAACAAUUAUCUUUUUAUCCUUAAAACUCAUGAAGGAUCUCAUUAAACACAUCCAUUUUUAUUGUUCGUUAAAAGGAUCAGGAAAUAUGCACAUGCAUUUUUAUUAAUAGACCAGAACAUAAUUUCCAAAUAAUCUUGACUAUUUCUCUCUCUACUGUCAACAGCCAGCAUGCUCGUUCCUGUGCAUGCUGGUGAAACAGACGUGGCCUGCCCUGCCUUUCUCCAAUCUCUCUCCCGCAGCCCAGCCCAGCCCAGCCUGGUUUAAUAGCAGGGGGAGUUGGCACCGUUCACAGCUGGUUAACACCCUACUGAGCAGGUCUGUUGAUUUUGCAUUAUGAUUACUGACCCUGCCAGUCCCUCUGCCCAGCCAAUAGCCUGAGGGGAAAGUUUUUGUGUGUGAAAAGAAGAGCUGACCAAGUAUAGCCAAACCGUGCCAGACAGACGCCACGAGCUGUCCUCUGCAGGGCCGCCUCUGCCCGUGUCUGCCUUAAGCAACCAACCAUGUGCCCUGGCACCAUGCCCUCCAGUGAAGAAGAAUGACACCCAUGGACUGCUUUGCGGGAUGCCCCCGCCUGCCCCGCCCUGAAGCUGCUGUCACCACCCUUGGACAUCAAAGAAAUCUCACUGCAGCUGCCACUUCCUAUCCCUCAACUCCCGUCCAGAGACACAUCACUAGUCUAGACAUGUAAGCCAGCCACCCGUUUUUGAUUUUCUGGAUGACAGCAAGCAUACAGAUUACUAACUCUGACAAAGACGGUGCAGUGAGGGCUCUCUGGUACAUUUGAGAAUAAAUAAUAUGGUUUUGAAUGCAGAAAGACUGAGAAAACUUCACUAUUCAUGUAAGAAAAAUAGGCUCCACGGGAUCCCUUGAUCAGGAUGGUGGUAGAGGAAAUGAACUUCCAUCAGCACUGUAAUGAUCUCAGCCUUCUCCACCACCCCACGAAGUUUCUCAUAGCAAGCCACAUCUUACUCAUCUCUACAUUCCUAGGAGGGGGGACAAGUUCACAGUGUUGGGGAGAGGAAAGUGUCCUCUUAGCUGCCUCCCAUGACUUCAGGGGCCCAUUUGAUGAUAAUAGGACACUCUCUGGACAAAGCCUGCAGAUGGAUUUGAUCAAGCAAGAGAGCUGAGGAUGAAUGCGAAAAAAAAAAAAGUGGUCCUGAUGGCUCCUUGACCAUGAAAUAAAGGUCAUCAAUGAGGGAAGACAGGAGACUCCAGGAGCACAGAGACAGUGACAAAGCAAUGGAUAAAGGAAUUGUGGGUACCAGUGAGAUGGAAGGAUUAUGGGAUUUGGAGUCCUAGGGACAAAGAUGGAAAGACUGGAGGGUGCUUGGAGAGGAACUGUGAUUGGUGAUGUCAAGAUCAAGAGUACUGUCUUACAGGGGAACCAGUGACAGAGGUCAAGAAGAAGAUGAGACCACUGCAAUGGUAAUUUCAUGACAUGUACAGGUGUUGAUAAUUCCUUUGUGCUGGACAAGGUAAAACAAAGAGGGGUGAUGACUUUGAAAUGUUCUUAAUAAAAAAUUCCAGCAAUAACGUCUGUCUGCAACUCAUUGGACAAAAGCAUCCAGCUCCUCAGAGCAUCUGACUUCUUUUCUGAUAACAUGAAGAUAAA